GCCUGCAUAGCUCAGUGGUAGAGCGCUUGUCUCGUAAACAAGAAGUCCGUCGUUCGAAUCGGCGUGUGGGCU